UGGGGAAUUUUGGACAAUGGGCGAAAGCCUGAUCCAGCAAUGCCGCGUGUGUGAAGAAGGCCUUCGGGUUGUAAAGCACUUUUGUCCGGAAAGAAAUGGCUCUGGUUAAUACCUGGGGUCGAUGACGGUACCGGAAGAAUAAGGACCGGCUAACUACGUGCCAGCAGCCGCGGUAAUACGUAGGGUCCAAGCGUUAAUCGGAAUUACUGGGCGUAAAGCGUGCGCAGGCGGUUGUGCAAGACCGAUGUGAAAUCCCCGAGCUUAACUUGGGAAUUGCAUUGGUGACUGCACGGCUAGAGUGUGUCAGAGGGGGGUAGAAUUCCACGUGUAGCAGUGAAAUGCGUAGAGAUGUGGAGGAAUACCGAUGGCGAAGGCAGCCCCCUGGGAUAACACUGACGCUCAUGCACGAAAGCGUGGGGAGCAAACAGGAUUAGAUACCCUGGUAGUCCACGCCCUAAACGAUGUCAACUAGUUGUUGGGGAUUCAUUUCCUUAGUAACGUAGCUAACGCGUGAAGUUGACCGCCUGGGGAGUACGGUCGCAAGAUUAAAA
rnacentral:rRNA from 1 species